AGAGUUUGAUCCUGGCUCAGAUUGAACGCUGGCGGCAUGCCUUACACAUGCAAGUCGAACGGCAGCGCGGGGCAACCUGGCGGCGAGUGGCGAACGGGUGAGUAAUAUAUCGGAACGUGCCCUGGAGUGGGGGAUAACGCAGCGAAAGUUGCGCUAAUACCGCAUACGAUCUAAGGAUGAAAGCAGGGGACCGCAAGGCCUUGUGCUCCUGGAGCGGCCGAUAUCUGAUUAGCUAGUUGGUGGGGUAAAGGCCUACCAAGGCAUCGAUCAGUAGCUGGUCUGAGAGGACGACCAGCCACACUGGAACUGAGACACGGUCCAGACUCCUACGGGAGGCAGCAGUGGGGAAUUUUGGACAAUGGGCGAAAGCCUGAUCCAGCAAUGCCGCGUGAGUGAAGAAGGCCUUCGGGUUGUAAAGCUCUUUUGUCAGGGAAGAAACGGUGUGGGCUAAUAUCCCGCACUAAUGACGGUACCUGAAGAAUAAGCACCGGCUAACUACGUGCCAGCAGCCGCGGUA
rnacentral:rRNA from 1 species